AUACGAAAGGUGCAAGCGUUGUUCGGAUUUACUGGGCGUAAAGAGAGUGUAGGUUGUUUAUUAAGUCGGAUGUGAAAUCCCGGGGCUCAACCUCGGAACUGCAUUCGAUACUGGUAGACUAGAGUUCGGGAGGGGUAAGCGGAAUUCCGUGUGUAGCAGUGAAAUGCGUAGAUAUACGGAGGAACACCUGAGGCGAAGGCGGCUUACUGGACCGAUACUGACACUGAGACUCGAAAGCGUGGGUGGCAAACAGGAUUAGAAACCCCAGUAGUCC
rnacentral:rRNA from 1 species